AUACGUAGGGUGCGAGCGUUGUCCGGAAUUACUGGGCGUAAAGAGCUCGUAGGUGGUUUGUCGCGUCGUCUGUGAAAUUCCGGGGCUUAACUCCGGGCGUGCAGGCGCUACGGGCAUAACUUGAGGCCUGUAGGGGAGACUGGAAUUCCUGGUGUAGCGGUGAAAUGCGCAGAUAUCAGGAGGAACACCGGUGGCGAAGGCGGGUCUCUGGGCAGUAACUGACGCUGAGGAGCGAAAGCAUGGGUAGCGAACAGGAUUAGAUACCCUGGUAGUCCAUGCCGUAAACGGUGGGCGCUAGGUGUAGGGGUCUUCCACGACUUCUGUGCCGUAGCUAACGCAUUAAGCGCCCCGCCUGGGGAGUACGGCCGCAAGGCUAAAACUCAAAGGAAUUGACGGGG
rnacentral:rRNA from 1 species